rnacentral:rRNA from 1 species
GUGAGGAAUCUUGCGCAAUGGACGAAAGUCUGACGCAGCGAUGCCGCGUGGGGGAUGAAGGCCUUCGGGUCGUAAACCCCUUUUGGUGGGAAAGAAACGCUCAGAUGUUAACAGCGUCUGGGUUUGACGGUACCCACAGAAAAAGCCACGGCUAACUCUGUGCCAGCAGCCGCGGUAAGACAGAGGUGGCAAGCGUUGUCCGGAAUUACUGGGCGUAAAGAGCGCGUAGGUGGCUAGAUAAGUCCGGUGUGAAAUCCUUCGGCUUAACCGGGGAAUGGCAUCGGGGACUGUUUAGCUCGAGGACGGGAGAGGAGAGCGGAAUUCCCGGUGUAGCGGUGAAAUGCGUAGAGAUCGGGAGGAAGGCCGGUGGCGAAGGCGGCUCUCUGGAACGUCCCUGACGCUGAGGCGCGAAAGCGUGGGGAGCAAACAGGAUUAGAUACCCCAGUAGUCC